rnacentral:rRNA from 1 species
GACGAACGCUGGCGGCGUGCUUAACACAUGCAAGUCGAACGGUAAGGCCCUUCGGGGUACACGAGUGGCGAACGGGUGAGUAACACGUGGGUGAUCUGCCCUGCACUUCGGGAUAAGCCUGGGAAACUGGGUCUAAUACCGGAUAGGACCACUGCCUGCAUGGGGGGUGGUGGAAAGCUUUUGCGGUGUGGGAUGGGCCCGCGGCCUAUCAGCUUGUUGGUGGGGUGAUGGCCUACCAAGGCGACGACGGGUAGCCGGCCUGAGAGGGUGACCGGCCACACUGGGACUGAGAUGCGGCCCGGACUCCUACGGGAGGCAGCAGUGGGGAAUAUUGCACAAUGGGCGCAAGCCUGAUGCAGCGACGCCGCGUGAGGGAUGACGGCCUUCGGGUUGUAAACCUCUUUCAGCACCGACGAAGCGCAAGUGACGGUAGGUGCAGAAGAAGGACCGGCCAACUACGUGCCAGCCGCCGCAGUAA